AUGUGCCUUCUGGGGAAUGGAGGGUACAAUUUCAGGAAAGACUCUUGGGAAAUGGGUGGAUUACUUAAACCAUCAACUCUAAACUUAUUUGAAUAUUUGUUAUUGUUCUUUAGCAUUACUGCAAGGAUCCAUAGGUGAUGCAAAAACCUUCAAAGCAACUCCAGAACCUUUAUCUGGCACUGCAGGACCCAUAACUGGAGCCAUUGGACCCAUAAUGCAAUUUACAGCACCAAUUCCAGGAGCUACGGGACCUAUCAAGCUAUCUCAAAAAACCAUUGUGCAAACUCCAGGACCUAUUGUGCAAUAUACUGGGACCAGUGUAGGAUCAACACCUCAGACAAACACCGGAUCAGUUCCACCUGCCCUCACUGGCCCACCACUUUCAAUGCCCAGAGGUGUGCCCCUGCCUCCCAUAAUGAUUUCACAGAGAACCUCAACAAGACCAGAGAAAUCUA
rnacentral:lncRNA from 12 species